AUUUUUUAACACUGAAUCUUUAAAUACUGUAUUUUAAAACACUGAAUUUCAGUGAAAAUGUCAGCAUAAUUUGAUUUGUUCACAAAAUUCAAAUGCAAAAAAUUCAGUUACAUAUAUUCAGUGUAAAAAAAAAAAAGUUUUCGUAAUAAAGACAAACAUCAACCUCGGUAGUGUUUCACUUCAUGACACCUGCUGUAUUACUUCAACUUUCUUAAGGGAUGGUGUUCCUUUUUUCUGACUUAAAAAUGUUGUUACCAUGUUGGAUACUACUGUAGUGUUAAAUAAUACUAAAGCGUCAGAAUCAUAAGAUUCAUGUAUUUGGGCAUGAGCUUGCACACAGUUUUGGAGGCCUCUGAAUGCUGUGUUUUGGGAUCUUUUUUUAACAUUUGUGAUGUCACAGAUUGACGGGGGUAUUUAUGUGGUCCUCCUCGUACAUUCUGUGUAAGCCAACCUCCUUUGUCUCUGCUGAGCGAUCGCAGUCGAGACUGCUGCCUGAAGUUUCCCAUGUCUAAUGCUUCCCCGCAUGCUCUGUUGUCUAUAAAAUAAUUACUUCCAUCUUUGUUUGUCCACAACAUUUUACACAGGACUGUUUUGUCAAGGUGCUAAACUUCGGCGGUUUCAGGAAACACAAGAUUAGCAAACCACAACGACAUCCCCUGAUCUGAACCCACAUCCGGGCAAGGAAAAAAUCCAUAAGCCCAGGCUAAGAAAAAAAAGAAACCUUGAGAAGGGUCCACAGAUGUAGGGACCAGCUCCCACCUGGCACCCUUGUUACCUGCCAGCAGUGAAGCAGCUUCCGUUGGCCGAGCCGAUUGUAGAGAAGACAACGAAAAGUGGAACAAUCCAAGACAUGGGACAGCAACACGGCGGUCGGCGGAAAGUACCGGGAAAAGGUGACGGCUCCCGGAGUGUUUAUAUGGCGUCAUAUAAAAAUAUAUGUAGUGUUCAUCGUGUGAGGCAAUGCAAAUUAAACAAUAAAAAAAACAAAUAACGGUUUGAAUUGGUCCAGGUUAUCAGGGACUUUAUUACUGACGGACAAGUGUCGCCGUGUGACUGCAACCAGGCACGUAAGACAACCCUCGUCUCCAUGGCAACGUUUCUCUCGCUUUCAUUCAUUUGCUUCUUUUCCACUAACGCAGGGGUAAUUUGGACCCAAA